AUGGAGAAACAAGGCUUUCCUCUACCGUACCGCCUCGGAGGAGAAAGAGGGGUUCUCUGUCUCAAAAAAAAAGGAGAGGAGGGGGGAACAGCCGCAGGCGGGGCAGGAAGGCGAAAAUGUCUCGCCGGCGGCGGCAGGGCUCCGACUCCGACGGCGAGGACGACAGCUUCCUCUACCGCUACCCGAUGCCCUCCUCCUCCGCCGGCGCCCCCUCCAGCGCGCCCGCGUCGGGCGGCCACGGCGGGGGCGGCAGGGGUGGGGGCAGCGGCUCGGGCGGGCUCGCGCCGUCUAAAUCCACGGUGUACGUCUCCAACCUGGACUUCGCGCUCACCAACUCCGACCUGCACACCCUCUUCUCCCGCUUCGGCAAGGUGGCCCGCGUCACGGUCCUCAAGGACCGCGAGUCCCGCCGCAGCAAGGGGGUCGCCUUCGUGCUCUUCGUCCGCCGGGAGGACGCCGUGGCGGCGGCCGCCGAGAUGCACGGCAAGGUGCUCAACGGCCGCACCCUCGCCGCCUCCAUCGCCGAGGACAACGGCCGGGCCGCGCAGUUCAUCCGCCGCCGCGAGUACCGCGACAAGUCCCACUGCUACGAGUGCGGCGGGGAGGGCCACCUCUCCUACGAGUGCCCCCGCAACCAGCUCGGGCCCCGCGAGCGGCCGCCGCCCUCUAAGAAGUCGCGCCGCGGGGGCGGGGCUGCUGGUGGCCGUGGCGGCGGCCGCGGAGGCGGGGGCGGGGAAGGGGACGGGCCCUCCUGGCAGUCGGACGAGGACGAGGACGCCGUCGCCGCGGCGUUCGAGGACGACAGGUGGGCGUCGGUGGUGGACACGAGGGGGGAGGAGGAGAAGGCGGCCGAGAAGGAGGGCAGGGCCAAGGCCAAGGCGGCGAGGAAGGAGAAACGGAAAGGCUACUUCAGCGACGAGAGCGACGAGGACGACGACUGAGCUUCAGCAUGCACCUGAAUGCCAACAUACGUCCAGACUGGGUUGUUCCUUGUGGUUUCAAGGCAGUUGGCUCGCAGGCUUACGCCUGGCAAAUUAUACCAUAGGGAAUUCGACACCAUCAUCAAUGGCUAAGUCCUUGGCUACAAUGGGGGCACUUGAGGGCACUCUGUUAUUCUGCUCGAUGUAUUAUUGA
rnacentral:rRNA from 1 species